rnacentral:lncRNA from 1 species
AACUAUGUGAUUUGAUUUAAUCAAAAUCAAUUAUUGUUUUGCCUAAUAUGUUCUGGAUGAAUGGAUAAUUUCAAUUCGAAUCGAAUAAUUCAUCACAUUCUAUAUAUAUUUAUAUUUUAUAAUAAUAAUUAAUAGGAGUACAUUUAUGUUUUUGCUUGACAAAUAUGAUAUUUUUUAGACAUUUUUGAUAAUAUCAAGCAUUAUUGUUAUGUUGAUAUUUGUAAUUUUCAGAGUUUUAGCACCAGUUAGUGAAGGACC